GACGAAAGCUGGCGGCGUGCCUAAUACAUGCAAGUAGAACGCUGAAGGAGGAGCUUGCUUCUCUGGAUGAGUUGCGAACGGGUGAGUAACGCGUAGGUAACCUGCCUGGUAGCGGGGGAUAACUAUUGGAAACGAUGCUAAUACCGCAUAAGAGUAGAUGUUGCAUGACAUUUGCUUAAAAGGUGCAAUUGCAUCACUACCAGAUGGACCUGCGUUGUAUUAGCUAGUUGGUGAGGUAACGGCUCACCAAGGCAACGAUACAUAGCCGACCUGAGAGGGUGAUCGGCCACACUGGGACUGAGACACGGCCCAGACCUCUACGGGAGGCAGCAGUAGGGAAUCUUCGGCAAUGGACGGAAGUCUGACCGAGCAACGCCGCGUGAGUGAAGAAGGUUUUCGGAUCGUAAAGCUCUGUUCUAAGAGAAGAACGAGUGUGAGAGUGGAAACGUUCACACUGUGACG
rnacentral:rRNA from 1 species